UGGGGAAUUUUGGACAAUGGGCGAAAGCCUGAUCCAGCAAUGCCGCGUGUGUGAAGAAGGCCUUCGGGUUGUAAAGCACUUUUGUCCGGAAAGAAAUCCUCUGGGUUAAUACCUCGGGGGGAUGACGGUACCGGAAGAAUAAGCACCGGCUAACUACGUGCCAGCAGCCGCGGUAAUACGUAGGGUGCAAGCGUUAAUCGGAAUUACUGGGCGUAAAGCGUGCGCAGGCGGUUUUGUAAGACGGAUGUGAAAUCCCCGGGCUUAACCUGGGAACUGCAUUCGUGACUGCAAGGCUAGAGUAUGGCAGAGGGGGGUAGAAUUCCACGUGUAGCAGUGAAAUGCGUAGAGAUGUGGAGGAAUACCGAUGGCGAAGGCAGCCCCCUGGGCCAAUACUGACGCUCAUGCACGAAAGCGUGGGGAGCAAACAGGAUUAGAUACCCUGGUAGUCCACGCCCUAAACGAUGUCAACUAGUUGUUGGGGAUUCAUUUCCUUAGUAACGUAGCUAACGCGUGAAGUUGACCGCCUGGGGAGUACGGUCGCAAGAUUAAAACUCAAAUGAAUUGACGAGGUCAUAGCUGUUUCCU
rnacentral:rRNA from 1 species